UUUUCAUGAGGCAAAGUCCGGGCUCCACCGGAAAAAAUGCCGGAUAAGAACCGGGCAGAAUUCGGCAGUUGCAUAAUUUACUUGCAUAACCCGAAUUCUGACAGAAAGUGCAACAGAAAAUAACCGCACUGGUAACAGUGUAAGGGUGAAAAGGCGGGGUAAGAGCCCACCGGGUUUCUGGUAACAGGAACCGCUGGAAAACCUCAUUUGGAGCAAGGUCAAGCAGCAGCUAAUCGUUCCGGGAUUUAUAGCUGCGGGUAGACCGCUAAAGGUUCAGGGUAAUCUGAACUUCGGAUAGAUGGUUAUGCGGAUGAAUAAUCCAGACCAGAACUCGGCUUACCGUCUCUUU
rnacentral:RNase_P_RNA from 1 species